UCCUAUUUGCGUUUGUUUCUUUUUUGUAGAUUUUAAACGCUCAUCAUAAAUUUUUAAAAUGGACAUCCAUGGAUUAAUUAAAUAGUAGUAGAUUUUAAACGCUCAUCAUAAAUUUUUCUUCAGAGACAAAUCUUUUCUCUCUUCUUUUUAUAUAUUUUGAAGAUUGAAAUUCUUCUUUUCAAAUCUCUUUGAUUUCAGUUUGACAGAUUCAUUUUGGUUUUGUAAUCAUUUGCAGUUUAAAUUCAAAAAAAAUAGAAGUCCAGACACUGCUCUAGAUCCAACUGUAUGUGAAGUUGUUAAACAAUCGGAUCAGGCUUGUAGAGAAGCCGUAUUCUUCUUUGUGCUUGGUGUCUGCAUUGUUACUGAUCUCAAAGUUAGUCGAAAGGAUUUUUUCUCUGCUGCGGUUCAUGGCCGAUUUGUUCAUCCUUUCGCUAUUUGCUGCCGAUCUAAAGAAUCUGAGUUGUGAUUCAGAUAUGAGAAGCUACAGAAGCAUCAAAUGGGAAAAGAUGAGUGACCAAUCCGAUACCGGCUAUGUAUUUUGUUACACUCCUGAGCUGUAUCAUUAACAACCUUACGUGAAGAGUUUACUUUUGGACUCUAACUAAAGCGCACUUGGGAGGCAUUUCAGAAGGUUUGUUGUUAUUAUUUUAUUUUUAUUUUGUUUGUUUAGUUUGAUUAGUUAGUGUGUUUUAAUGUAUUGUUGUUCAGUUAAUUUUGGUAUGUGGUUUGGUUUGAUGUGCAGGAAUUCACAAGCGUAUAUUAGGAGCACCGGCACAGGCACUUAUCCAUCGCCCGAGUCAUCACCACUGCCAUCACAAUUCGAUUGAGAUUUGUUUUUCUUAACCCAAACUCCAUUUAUAUUUUUAUUUUUUGUUUUUAUUUUUAUUUUUUAGCUUCACGAACAUAGCUAAAAUUAGUGUGACGAUGGGGGUAGAAAAUAAGUCGUGUUUGUUUUUUUUUUGCUUUAUUUUGUUUGCUUUAGUUUUCAUUUUAGGUUUGUUUUGCUUAAAUUCUGAAAUUUUGCAAAGCGGUAUUACUUAACCUUUGGCUUGUAAUUGUUGAUUUUAGAAGAAUGCUAGUCAUCUUAUGAUAGUAUCAAAUUCUAGUUGAUUUCUUAUUCCCUGAUGAUUGAUGAAUGAUGUUGAAUUUUAUUUUUACAUUUGAUAGUGGUCGGUAUACUUCCAAAGAAAAAGUGCGAGUUUGUUUGACAUGAAUCAAUAAGACUAGGAUAAAUCCACAAGUUAGCAAACCGUGAAAAUCGAGACAAUGCCUAAAAGCUUGAUGCGAGUCAUUGAUAUUUUGGUGCUAGAUUUUUAAAUUUUGUAUUUUGUCACAUUUCGGCAUGCAUGACAUUUUCUUAUGUAAUGUGGAAAACAUGGUAAUACACAACCAAUUUGGAGAGUUUUUGAGCCUUAAAUUACAAAUUUUCUUGUUGUGUGAAUUGAUUACGUGUAGAAUUUUUAGAACUUGCCUUGUAUCCGUUUAAAACCACAUGGUUGAGUUUUUGGCAUGAAAAUGAUAAUGGCAUUAGGAUUACACAUUUUUCCUAAAACCACUAAAAAAGAUUACCCUUUUUUCCAUUAGUUUAACCAAUUUGAGCUUUAGCUUAUUUCUUGUUUAUACUAAAUUUUGAACACAUUCACCCUUCUGCUUAUACCUCUUUCUACCUUUGACUUGGUGAUGUAUUUGUUGUAUUGUGGAACAAUAUAUCAGUACUUAAUUUUGGUUAUUCUAGCUAUACGUUGAAGUUGAACUUUUUAGUGCUUAAAAGAGAAAUUUGCCUUGAAAAAGCUAAUAGAAAAGAGAAAAGAAAAAGAAGUAAAAAAAUCAAAGAGAUAGAACUUUCAAAGAAAUACAAAUCAGAAAAUAUAAAAAGUAGAGGCAAUAUCAAAAAAAAAAGUGUUCAACAAAUUACAAAAACUGAGCUAGAUUAAUCUUUGAAAAUAGAGUUCCUUUUUAUGAUUAUAUUAUCAAGUCAAUUACACCUAAUUUCUCUUUUUACCUACUAUUUACCCUUAACCUCAAUACAAUCCAUUUUAAGUCCAUUUGAUUUGUGUCAAUUACCGAACUAAGUGGUGGAGUCCGGGAUUAUAGGCAAACUUAUGGUAAAUUCACAUGUAUUUCAAUGGUGAGCUUAAAUUUAUUCUUGCCCUUAAACACGUGAGUGUCAGAGUGAAAACCUAGUGAGGAUUGAUUGCCAUGUGUUUCGCUUAUAUAAGUUUGUGCCAUGCAUGUUGAUAGUUUGUGAUAAUCUGACUUCAUUGGUGAUUCGCAAGUGAUAGUGUAUAAUGCAUGUUUAUUUUGAAUCGUCGAGUUAAAUUGUGAUAGUAUUCUUGGUGAUAUUGGUUCAUGUCGCUGAAAUUGCACGAUUACUUUGUUUGCAUUCUUGAUUGUUGUCGGGUUUAAAAGCUUAAUUCAUUUAAUUCAUCAUUGUUGGGAAUUCGAAGUUGAUUGGUAUUUGGUGCAUGUUAUGAGUUGAUUAGUGUGUAUAUAGAGCGAGUUAUUUUCCUUUUUGAGGACAAAUAAAGGUUAAGUAUAAGCAUGUUUGAUAAGAGUAAAAAUACUUCUAAAAUUAUAGUGAUUAGUUUGUUUUAUGAAUAAAAAAACGCAUGUUUAAUUAUUAUUUUUGAUUAUAUCGGAUCUUAUUUGUCAUUUGAAUGUUUCAGGUGUUACUCCGUAAAUUUCACGGGAUUUUGGGACGAAGUAAUCUGGAAGAGUCGGAAUUGUCGGGUGUUUAUCGAAAUCAAUUAAGCCACUCCAACUAAGCAAGCAUCAAAUAAGCUAGUCAAUUUGAGAAGGAAGCAGAUCAAUUUGUUUAAGUUGGCCAAAAAGAAGAAUAAAGAAGCAGCUGAAUUAAAGAAUUGUUGGCCCCUUUGUAUGAAUUCAGAAUUGUUGGCCGCAAGAAUUGAAAAAUGACAGUGUUUCGAACGAGACACUUAUCUGUCGUUCCAAAUAAGGACAUCCUCCGAGGAAGGAAAAUCAAGUUUAUGAUCCCGUUCGAGACAUGCUUGUUUCGGUCGUACCAUUAUGGUCUCGUUCGAGACAUGCUCCGAGGAAGGAAAAUCAAGUUUACGAUCCCGCGGUUCGUUAUUUCAACUUAAAACCAAAUUGGUUUUGGGUUGGGUUAUUUUACUCUUAAUUAGAGAAGCAUUAGGGUAACUUUUAUUCCUAUUUUGCAAGUACUCUAUAAAUACUACAUAUAAUUUCAGAAUUAGAUAAAUUAUUUUUUAGAUA